rnacentral:rRNA from 1 species
CAAGACAUGAAGUUAGGUCAGCAAACCCGCUGAAUUUAAGCAUAUAAGUAAGCGGAGGACAAGAAACUAAAUAGGAUUCCCUCAGUAAUGGCGAAUGAACAGGGAUAAGCUCAGCAUGGAAAUUGGGGCCUCUGGCCUUGAAUUGUAGUCUUGAGAUGGCAUUGCCAGUGGAGGCGCAGAUGUAAGCCUCUUGGAAAAGAGCAUCAAUGAGGGUGAGAGUCCCGUUUGUCAUCUGCAGUCCCCCAUAAACGGUGUGCUUUCUAAGAGUCACGUUCCUUGGGAUUGGAGCGCAAAUUGGGUGGUAAAUUUCAUCUAAAGCUAAAUAUUGGUUCGAGACCGAUAGCAAACAAGUACCAUGAGGGAAAGGUGAAAAGGACUUUGAAAAGAGAGUUAAAAGUGCCUGAAAUUGCUGAAAGGGAAGCGAAUGGAACCAGUCUUCUGGGCGAGAUUGUUGCGCGCUACUGUGAUUGCCUGCUGCUUCAACGCAAGUGUCGCAGUGGGUUUUGAGCAUGACGUGCGCUUUGUUUCUUGCCUCGUGUGUCAACGUCGGUUCGGACUUGAGGAAAACUCCAGGGACAUGGUAAAUCGCUCGUGGGUGAUUGAAUGUGCUUGGCAGAACUCAUUUCUUAACUGAUUUCUGCAUGUCUGGUCGCAGUGCCUCGUUGCCUGCGCUCGCUGCCUCGGGUCUGGAGCUUCAGCUCUUCCUCGUUGCUUUGAGCCUGGUCGUGUGGCAUCUCCCUGACAUAAGUACGAUGACAAAAUGGUUUCAUUCGACCCGUCUUGAAACACGGACCAAGGAGUCUAACAUAUGUGCAAGUUCACGGGUGUUAAACCUGAUUGCGCAAUGAAAGUGACUGCUGGGAUAUUUGCACCAGCAACCGACCAAUCAAUUGUGAGAGGUUUGAGUAUGAGCAUAUCUGUUAGGACCCGAAAGAUGGUGAACUAUGCCUGAGAAGGGUGAAGUCAGGGGAAACUCUGAUGGAGGCUCGUAGCGAUACUGACGUGCAAAUCGUUCGUCAUACUUGGGUAUAGGGGCGAAAGACUAAUCGAACCAUCUA